CAGGGAGGGGAGCGAGAGUAG
rnacentral:miRNA from 1 species